rnacentral:rRNA from 1 species
AUUGAACGCUGGCGGCAUGCCUUACACAUGCAAGUCGAACGGUAACGGGCCUUCGGGUGCCGACGAGUGGCGAACGGGUGAGUAAUGUAUCGGAACGUACCUUUCAGUGGGGGAUAACGUAGCGAAAGUUACGCUAAUACCGCAUAUUCUGUGAGCAGGAAAGCAGGGGGUCGCAAGACCUUGCGCUGAUUGAGCGGCCGAUAUCAGAUUAGCUAGUUGGUGAGGUAAAGGCUCACCAAGGCGACGAUCUGUAGCGGGUCUGAGAGGAUGAUCCGCAACACUGGAACUGAGACACAGUCCAGACUCCUACGGGAGGCAGCAGUGGGGAAUUUUGGACAAUGGGGGCAACCCUGAUCCAGCCAUGCCGCGUGAGUGAAGAAGGCCUUCGGGUUGUAAAGCUCUUUCGGCCGGGAAGAAAUCGUAUCAGCUAAUACCUGGUGCGGAUGACGGUACCGGCAUAAGAAGCACCGGCUAACUACGUGCCAGCCGCCGCCGUAACAC